rnacentral:rRNA from 1 species
GCAUAACGCGAAGAACCUUACCAGGUCUUGACAUCCCUCUGACCGGUCUAGAGAUAGGCCUUCCCUUCGGGGCAGAGGAGACAGGUGGUGCAUGGUUGUCGUCAGCUCGUGUCGUGAGAUGUUGGGUUAAGUCCCGCAACGAGCGCAACCCUUGAUCUUAGUUGCCAGCACUUUAAGGUGGGCACUCUAAGAUGACUGCCGGUGACAAACCGGAGGAAGGUGGGGAUGACGUCAAAUCAUCAUGCCCCUUAUGACCUGGGCUACACACGUACUACAAUGGCCGGUACAACGGGCUGCGAAAUCGCGAGAUGGAGCCAAUCCCACCAAAGCCGGUCUCAGUUCGGAUUGCAGGCUGCAACUCGCCUGCAUGAAGUCGGAAUUGCUAGUAAUCGCGGAUCAGCAUGCCGCGGUGAAUACGUUCCC